GAUGAAGAACGUAGCGAAAUGCGAUAAGUAAUGUGAAUUGCAGAAUUCAGUGAAUCAUCGAAUCUUUGAACGCACAUUGCGCCCGCCAGUAUUCUGGCGGGCAUGCCUGUUCGAGCGUCAUUUCAACCAUCAAGCCCCCGGGCUUGUGUUGGGGACCUGCGGCUGCCGCAGGCCCUGAAAACCAGUGGCGGGCUCGCUAGUCACUCCGAGCGUAGUAAUACAUCUCGCUCAGGGCGUGCUGCGGGUUCCGGCCGUUAAAAAGCCUUAUUUACCCAAGGUUGACCUCGGAUCAGGUAGGAAGACCCGCUGAACUUAAGCAUAUCAAUAAGCGGAGGA
rnacentral:misc_RNA from 1 species